AGCCGCCAGUGGCAACAACGGCCAGGCCGAGCCGCUUUGUCCUUCCGGAAGUGUCCAGCCGAACCCGGCAACAGUGGCGGGUGACUGCCGUCGGUAUCCAGGGUAAGGGGAGAGUAACUGCCACGGCGGGAACCACGGAGAUCGAAGGGGACUGGUGGUGUUCAGGCGGCGUUUGGAGCGCCAUGGACGAAGCCAGCAGUUGUGGUAGCGGGGGCGGCUUCCGCCCCGGGGUGGACAGCCUGGAUGAGCCGCCCAAUAGCCGCAUCUUCCUGGUGAUCAGCAAGUACACACCGGAGUCGGUGCUGAGAGAGCGCUUCUCGCCCUUCGGGGAAAUCCAGGACAUCUGGGUGGUGCGGGAUAAGCACACCAAGGAGUCCAAGGGCAUCGCUUUCGUGAAGUUCGCCCGCAGCUCGCAGGCCUGCCGGGCCAUGGAGGAGAUGCAUGGCCAGUGCCUCAGUCCCAGUGACUCCAAGCCCAUCAAGGUUUUCAUUGCCCAGGCAAGAUCAUCAGGGAGUCACCGAGAUGUUGAAGAUGAAGAACUUACACGAAUUUUUGUUAUGAUACCAAAAUCAUAUACAGAAGAAGAUCUAAGGGAUAAAUUUAAGGUAUAUGGAGAUAUCGAGUAUUGCAGCAUCAUUAAGAAUAAAGCUACUGGAGAAAGUAGAGGUUUGGGCUAUGUAAGAUAUUUAAAACCAUCACAAGCUGCCCAGGCCAUAGAAAACUGUGAUCGAAGUUUUAGAGCAAUCUUGGCAGAACCUAAAAAUAAAGCAUCUGAAUCUUCUGAACAAGAUUAUUAUAGUAGUAUGAGGCAGGAGGCAUUGGGACAUGAACAUAGAGUAAAUAUGUUUCCUUUUGAACAGCCAGAAUUUCCCUCUUUUGAAAAGAAUGAUAUCCGAGGCCAGGAGACCAUCUCCAAACGCUUGUCAGUGGUAUCACGGGUUCCUUUCACACAAGAGCAACUCUACAGCAUUUUUGACAUAGUCCCAGGCUUGGAAUAUUGUGAAGUUCAACGAGAUCCUUACUCUAACUAUGGUCAUGGAGUGGUUCAGUAUUUUAAUGUAGCAUCAGCUAUAUAUGCAAAAUACAAGCUACAUGGAUUUCAGUACCCUCCUGGAAAUCGGAUAGGUGUCUCAUUCCUUGACGAUGGAAGCAAUGGAACAGACCUCCUUAGAAAAAUGGCAACCCAGAUGGUCGCUGCACAGCUUGCAUCAAUGGUGUGGAAUAACCCUGGUCAGCAACAGUUUCUGGCAUCUUUGCAAUUUGGAGGAAGUUCUGGGUCUCAGUUGCCUCAAAUUCAGACAGAUAUUGUGCUUCCAUCAUGUAAAAAGAAAGCCCCGCCUGAAACUGCUGUGAAGGAAAGGCUUUUUAUUGUGUUUAAUCCUCAUCCCUUGCCCUUGGACAUAUUGGAGGAUAUAUUCUGGUGUUUAUUGAGCACUUCCUGUGCUAAUUGCAGUGAUGGGCACUUGGAGGAUACAAAAGAAGCUUGUAAAGCCGUCCCUGCCCUUAAGGAGCUUACAGUCUCACUGGGAAAACCAGACAAAAUCAUGUUAACUCUAUGAGAUAUGCUAAAUUAGAUGCUAUAAGAAGACAAAAAUCAUGCUAACUAUGAGAUAUGCUAAAUUAGAUGCUAAAAGAAGACUGAUUCCUGUGCUUUCAGAACCUUUGAUACACAGAGAAAUUUUCAAGGGAUACUUUUGAGCUCCCUUGGCAAUUGUGUGGGUUUUUAGUAUUUCAUCCUUUCUUUUCUUUUCAGCUGCCAUUAAUAAUGAAUUAUGAUAUAUAAGAAGUUGGUAAGGAGCCAUUCAAAAGAUGAGAUUGCUGGAAUGUCACAAAAGUAUUUUAACAUACAUUUAAAUGGAUUAGAGUUAUAGAUUCCUUUGCAACAGCUUGAUUUCCAUUUCACUUAAAAUAGCUUAUUUUGUUUCAGUCGUUUUGGGAAUCUGAUUGAAGUCUACCUUGUAUCAGGAAAAAAUGUGGGGUAUGCCAAGUAUGCAGAUAGAACAAGUGCUAAUGAUGCCAUAGCUACUUUACAUGGAAAAAUUUUGAAUGGCGUCAGGCUUAAAGUUAUGUUGGCAGAUUCACCCAGAGAAGAAUCUAACAAAAGGCAAAGAACGUAUUGAUCAUAGAGAACAGAUACUAAAUAAUGACAUAACCCUCAGCUGACUGACUGAAAAAUGUGACUGGACGCACUCCCUGUGGACAGUUGACAGCUUUUUUUGUAUAAUUUGCUAGUUUGUGCACAACAUUGUCUUGUUGGGGGGAGUAGGGUUUGCAGACAUGUAUUUUAAAUACCCAUUAAUGCUAAAAUUAAUACAGUAGUUGUUUGAGAAAUGUGUUUUGUUAUGUUUAGAAGAAAUAAAGUUUUCUUUGUUUCAUUAAA